UACGAAGGGGGCUAGCGUUGCUCGGAAUCGCUGGGCGUAAAGCGCACGUAGGCGGCUUUUUAAGUCAGGGGUGAAAUCCUGGAGCUCAACUCCAGAACUGCCUUUGAUACUGAGAAGCUUGAGUCCGGGAGAGGUGAGUGGAACUGCGAGUGUAGAGGUGAAAUUCGUAGAUAUUCGCAAGAACACCAGUGGCGAAGGCGGCUCACUGGCCCGAUACUGACGCUGAGGCACGAAAGCGUGGGGAGCAAACAGG
rnacentral:rRNA from 1 species